AAAUAAUCAAUAAAAUUUAUCAAUAUUACAAUUAAAACGUAAUUUCUUCAUGAACAAAAAAUAAAAUUAUAUGAUAAUUCUGAUACAUAGGACUGAAGACCAAUGUCAAGUAAAAAUGUACAAUUCCGCUAUGUGUUUUUUUAAAAAAAAAUAUUAAGUGAUAUUCACCCUCACGACGUUCUCAAAUAGGAGUAGUAAAUAUCCAAUACUACGACUUGUUAUUUGAGUUACACCCAAUCUUCUAUUUCUAUAGAUGAAAAACUAUUAAGCGAGCCUCGGGCGUUGGGAGUUAGGCGUGUUUAAGGCGUACGGUCGGGCGCUUAGGGCGUAAGCCUCACAGGAACUAAGCCCCGCACGUUAGCCCCGGGGUGUUUUGCCACUGCCCUGCCCCGAAGCGAGCCACAGGGCGAGUCCUGACACUGCC